CUCGCCCCUCCCGGUCGGGGUGGGGGCGUACCAAAAGGACUUCCAGUGCAGGGGCAAAAGGAAAGAAAGAACGCCACGGGAGAGUAUUUUGGAAAGAUAAACAAGAAACUCUGAACAGCGGCUGCCUCUAGAGAGGAGGACUGGAGUAUCAGAAGUCAAGGAGAAGCAGGCCUGGAAGGAUCUUUCCCCACAGCCUUUCUCUGCCUGGCCCAAGUUCCAGCUCCCAGUAAGAAGCCCAUGCCUGACAGAGCUCCACUUUCUUCCUCUCCCAGAGGCAGCUUAAAGUCAGGAGGAGGCACAAUGCUGAGAAGCCCAGAAAGUUCCCCAGAUUCCUCUGUGAUCAGGUCAACUUCAUUAAAACGAACUAUGUUCCCUGAGGAUUUGAUCGUGGAGGUGGUGUUGCUUGCUGUAUCACAGUUCCUAUGGCUACAGACUCACAGUGAGAGGGAACAGGUAUACAUCAUCACCUUCCUGUAAAACUGGGAUCUGACCUCCUUUAUAGUCAAACAUGCAGCAGGCCCCCGCGCGAAUGGCAGAGCAUGAACAGAAUCAAGAGAGUCCUGAAUGACUUCAGUGGAAAAGAACACUAAAUGAAAUGAUGCUUGUGAAAGGAUGUGUUCUAUCCUUGGUUCAGCUUGCAUCCUGCAUAAUUGUUCACCAUUCAUCUUUCAUACCCAGAAGGGAGAUCAUCCAACUGAAAGGGUUGCAAACUGGCAGGCCCCAGGCCAAAUAAAACCCAUAAACCUGUCUGGUAUGAGUUCAGAAUGUUUAAAACAUGUUUUAAGUCAACUUUUAAAAAAUCCGUAUAUCUUUUCAGUGAAAAAAAAAAAUCCAGUUUUCAGUGUCAAUGCCCUCCUGUCAAAGGCUCUCAAGAACAAACCUGUAAUUGAACAAAGUUGGGUUUAUUGACUCAUUGCAGAAGGAGACCACACAAUAUGUGAAACUGUGAGACAUCUCAGUAAGAGAUGCUGUAAAUGACUUAUUGUAGGACUUGAACUUGUGUUAGGUUUCUGGGGAGGAUUUAAGAAAAUGAGCUGACUCUGAUUUAGAUGCUAUGAAGAAGUGGGGAGUAGUUCUAUGAUUGGUAUCUUAACACUUUUAAUCUAAAUGAUAGGAAGACUAAAGCUAUCACUGAUAAAGAAGGAAAAGUAAUUUAUAUUAGGCAGGAUGUGGGUAUUGAAUCAUUUCUGUUGUUUGGAUAAUGUUCUUGCUUUUCGUUCGUUUACUAUUUAUUUAUUUGGCUGUGCUGUGUCUU